GUUUUAACGUACUUUUGCUCGGAGGGAACUUCGUGCGAGCCGUGUUGUUGGAGCUCCGAGUUUCUAGUUAAUCGUUGCUCUGUUUUAUAGUUUUUGAAACCCAACAAAAGGGUAUUUUGUUAGCAAAGGCUAUCGCUGCCAGUUUUUGUUCUUUUGAAUUUGGAAAACUCUCCGUCCAACAGACUUUCUGCCAAGUCACCCGGCCGGAGUCGACGUUUUCCCCCCUCUACAGUUUUUUCGUCGGAUAUGUGUGUCGAAACAAUGAAUACCAGAUCGACACACUUACAAAGCGAUUGUCUGAUGCGUAAAACCAUGAAACCUGGAUCUAAACUGAGGUGGAGGCUUCUCCGUGUGUCCACAGAGGUGGACGGCCCGGCCAAACUUUGUCGAGACACCGCUGUGAGGGCGACCAUCCGAAAAUACCUCCACCGGGAACAGAAACGGGCACAGCUGGCUAAGCUCGCCAAAGUCACGGGAGACGCGGGCAGGAAAGAGAGAAGACAGUUCACGUUUGAGGGAAGUCCCGCUGUGGCCUGUGUGAACCGUCGUCAGCCAGGGGCAAUGGCGCCGGAAAACACCACGCAGUACCUCAUGAGUAACGUGUAUGAGGACAUGAAGACGAGCGACGCCCAGUCAGCCCCAGUUUCGUGCGAAACAUCGGCACAUCUGUAUAGUGAGGCCCUGUCACCCAGGAGUGUGUAUUCUGCUCUGGACUCCGGUUACGAGAGCUGUCUUGCUUUUCAGCAGAGGGACUUUGAGGAAGUGUUUGAUCUGUGCUGGUAACCGGGAUGAACCGGUCUGCGUGGCCUUGUGAAACUGGUCAGGCUUCUGUUCCAGCAGUGACUUUCCCAUAAGGACAAACAUGAAGCGGCGCACUGGACGCUGCCCGCCCAGUAGGGAGCGCUCCUCAGCCAUGCGUUGGCGCCGCCCAGGGGAGCGAGCCAAACGCACUUCAGCUCUGGUCGGGCCACGGAUUGUGAAAUCCAGGUAAACCCGGACAGGUAUCUUUGUUGCACUGUAUUGUCGCUGAUGGCAAUAGUGGUAAAAAUGUGAUGCGAUGAAUGGGGGGGGGGGGGUGCUUUCCACAGUCACUGUUGUCUGAGCGUUUUCCAGGUCACCCCUGAAGGGACACGUGGUUCGGCUGUGUGAGGAUCUGGAGAUCAAGGAGGUCGGUCUUAACCUGAAUGACACAAGGUGACAUUUAGUGUCUGUGUGGUUAUCUUGGCUAUUACCAAGAAGAUCAAAGUCCGGAUGAGUGUGCAAUGAUACUGGUAUCACUUAGUGUAAAAAUGAGUGUGUUAAACUGUAUUUAACCUGAAAUAUUAGAAAUUAUGAUGAUUAAACAAUGACUUUAUUCAGCAAAUGAGCGUUAUAACAAGCAAAAUUGACCCUUUGUGUUACAUUUGUGAUUUUUGUUCAAGAUUUUUGUUCAGUUUUUGUCAGCUAAUCCUGGAUUCUGUAAGUUAUGCCUAAAAUUUAGAAUAAUUGGAAGAGUAAGAAUUCUGAAGUAAAUUAAGUCAAGAACAUUAAAACCAUGAACAUAAACCUGCAUGUGUUGGUUUGCAUCAGUUUCGUCAGUUUAAUGUGUCAUAUCCCAAAAUAAAGACAGUAUGAGCCAUA